CUCCGUAAAGGGUAAACUCAUCGCAAGGUGGGGACACAAAGCCUACGGGUCCCACAGGGACGGCCGGGUUGUCGGA
rnacentral:ncRNA from 1 species